UAUGUGAUCGUCUCUCGCAUAUCAAUAAGCGGAGGAAAAGAAACUAACAAGGAUUCCCCUAGUAACGGCGAGUGAAGCGGGAAGAGCUCAAAUUUGAAAUCUUAAAGGGUUUCCCUUUACGAAUUGUAGUUUAAAGAAGUGUUUUCUGUUGAGGUUUUGGUAAAAGUUCUUUGGAAUAGGACAUCAUAGAGGGUGAGAAUCCCGUAUUUGACCUUUACUUUCAACUUUGUGAUACACUUUCAAAGAGUCGGAUUGUUUGGGAAUGCAGUCCAAAAUGGGUGGUAAAUUUCAUCUAAAGCUAAAUAUUGGCGAGAGACCGAUAGCGAACAAGUACCGUGAGGGAAAGAUGAAAAGAACUUUGAAAAGAGAGUUAAACAGUACGUGAAAUUGUCAAAAGGGAAGCGUUUGACACCAGUGUUGUUUUUCUGAAAAUCAAUUAAAGAACUGUUUAUGCUAAGCUGUUUAGACUUUAUCAGCUAAUCUGUUUAGUUUUGAGCUUUUCUUUAAUGCACUUUUCAGUUAACAAGUCAACAUCAAUUUCUUUUGCUGUAAAAAAGCUUGAGGAAGGUGGCUUGAGAUUCGUCUUAAGUGUUUAUAGCCUCUUGCCUAUGCAGUCGGAGAGAUUGAGGUCUGCAGCGUAGAUCCUUCGGGGCUAAAUGCAUUUGUGCUAAGUUAUAGCAUUUUAUAGACAACUUGUUGACUAUGAUUUGUCUUGUAGCUUACUCGCUUAUGUUAUUUUACCUACGCUUAGGAUGUUGAUCCUACAGAGCGAGAGU
rnacentral:rRNA from 1 species